AGAAUGACAAUUAAUUGUGUAAUUGAUUUUAUUUUAAUGAUUUUUUGAAUCUCCCUCACCUCUUGUAGCUUCUCCUGCAAAUGGAUAAUGCCUGGCAGAAUUUGGGGACUAUUAGGAAACUAACAGUACAUUCUGCAUUAGAUGACAAAUGGCUUGUAUGAUUUUCCAGCUGAAGUAUGCAGAGCUGUGGAACAGUUAAAUGCUUAAGAGAUGCUCUUCAGACUGUCUACAGCUGGUGUCCAGUUUGGCUGCCGUGGUUGCUGUUUCCCAACAAGUGAACUGAGACUCAGGACAUGCCAGCAGGGAAGAAGGGGACAAAACAUUCACAUACUAAUAGCUCAUACAACUGAAGAGGAAAAAGCUCGGCCCACUCAAAUCAUGUAAAUGGAGAGUGACAACAAAAGCUCCAACCUGGGAUGUUUGCAUGGACUCACAUGUACCAGGACUGAAGAAAGAGAGGUACUGUCACUGAAAGAAAGAAGAAAACGGACAAUUGCCUUUUCUAGGGGAAGCCAAGUGAAAGGCCAGAACGGGGAAGAGCUACAAACUUCUCCAGCCUCCAGAUUUUAAUGAGCCUAUUAGUGUGUGGAAAUGCCUAUCCCUCAGUGUGCAGAGUGCUGACAAGCAGGUAUCAUUCAUUAGGUAGUCUUGCUUUAUAUAUCACGACAUUGCCUACAAAAAGCUAAGUUUUGGAAUAAAGCAGUUCCUUUUUUUCCCUUAUGGGUUUUU
rnacentral:lncRNA from 1 species